GACGAACGCUGGCGGCGUGCCUAAUACAUGCGAGUUGAGCGAUGAAGAUUGGUGCUUGCACCAAUUUGAAGAGCAGCGAACGGGUGAGUAAUGCGUGGGGAAUCUGCCUUUGAGCGGGGGACAACAUUUGGAAACGAAUGCUAAUACCGCAUAACAACUUUAAACAUAAGUUUUAAGUUUGAAAGAUGCAAUUGCAUCACUCAAAGAUGAUCCCGCGUUGUAUUAGCUAGUUGGUGAGGUAAAGGCUCACCAAGGCGAUGAUACAUAGCCGACCUGAGAGGGUGAUCGGCCACAUUGGGACUGAGACACGGCCCAAACUCCUACGGGAGGCAGCAGUAGGGAAUCUUCGGCAAUGGACGAAAGUCUGACCGAGCAACGCCGCGUGAGUGAAGAAGGGUGUCGGAUCGUAAAACUCUGUUGGUAGAGAAGAACGUUGGUGAGAGUGGAAAGCUCAUCAAGUGACGGUAACUACACAGAAAGGGACGGCUAACUACGUG
rnacentral:rRNA from 1 species